CCUACGGGAGGCAGCAGUGAGGAAUAUUGGUCAAUGGGCGCAAGCCUGAACCAGCCAUGCCGCGUGCAGGACGACGCAUCUAUGGUGUGUAAACUGCUUUUGUACGGGAAGAAACCCUGCCACGUGUGGCAGAUUGACGGUACCGUAAGAAUAAGGAUCGGCUAACUCCGUGCCAGCAGCCGCGGUAAUACGGAGGAUCCAAGCGUUAUCCGGAAUCAUUGGGUUUAAAGGGUCCGUAGGCGGUUUUAUAAGUCAGUGGUGAAAUCCGGCAGCUCAACUGUCGAACUGCCAUUGAUACUGUAGGACUUGAAUUAUUGUGAAGUAACUAGAAUAUGUAGUGUAGCGGUGAAAUGCUUAGAUAUUACAUGGAAUACCCAUUGCGAAGGCAGGUUACUAACAAUAUAUUGACGCUGAUGGACGAAAGCGUGGGGAGCGAACAGGAUUAGAUACCCUGGUAGUCCACGCCGUAAACGAUGGAUACUAGCUGUUCGGAUGCAAAUCUGAGUGNGUAGACGAAGUAGAGUAAGUAGUACCGUAACCGUCGGGUAGGUUACGAACGACGAAGUUAGUAACGUUAAAGGUUAAGUUAGACGGACGUUGAGACGUUAGCCGACGGACGACGACGAGGGAGGAGG
rnacentral:rRNA from 1 species